ensembl:antisense Fgf2os fibroblast growth factor 2, opposite strand
GGAUUGUUUCCCGACCUAUAUCCAUGACUGGAUAUAUUUCUAUGACAAAAUCCAAGCUGUAAUUCUUAUCUCGCCCUCAAGGUACCUGCAAGCCAGUGACCUCAAUCCUGACCUACGACAGUCACCCACUCCCCACCGGAAUGGAAAAGGUCAUUUCGUCACCUCAGCCAGCAGUCCUCAGGAGACUCCAACAUCCCAGCUCCACACAGUGUUCUUAGAGUUGAUGUCUUCUCUCAAAGGAACAGAAGAAAUGAGUGCUACAACCCCAAGACAAGCCCCGUUUUGCUUAUGACCCCGAGAAAACAGAACCAACCAGAGCAGAAUUUCCUCAGCUUUCUGCUGUCAUGUACACAACCAACUUGCAUCCCUUCAGUAUCCAGAAGCCAACCCUGCAGUUGCAAGCCCGUGUGGCUUUGCGCCUCCCCCUCCCUGGAGCCCUUGGCUCCUGAAGCUUGGCUUCCUGUGACACCAGGUUCCUCUCCUAGCAGAUCAUUCUCAUCAGCAUUCAGUUUUAGUUCUAUGCUUCUUUCUCCACUUCUGCUGAAGUAAGACCUCAGAAGUUGCCGCUCAUCCUCUUGAUUGACCAAGUCUGGAGUUGAUUACAGGACUUCAUCGCAGGCACAAUUACAGAGUGAUCCCCAGUGAACCAUCAUCACCUACUUUACAUUGCAAGUUUCAUUCUUUAGUGGUGUUCUGUGAACAUUUCAUCUUUCUCAUCAUAAAAUGUGUUUUCACUUGAUGUGAUCACUUCUCAGAGUGACGCCUGGACAUGCAUUUUCAGAGGACAAGCCAAGUCCAAGAACUUGAGUUUACACACACAUGCUCAAGAUAACCUUUGCUGAUGUAGGAGCAUGCAAUGAUCUGUCUCAGUGAGGUCACACAGAGAAGUCUGUAGUUCCAUUGCCUUUCCUGGUAAUUUCCUUUUGAAAGUGGUCUCUGUGUGGAAGUCCAUGAUCUGUGCUGUCACUGUAAAGAGCCAGGAAGCCUCUUUUGCAGUGGUAUGGAUGACUGCAGACUCACAGUUGAGAAUGAGACAUAGAAGAUCUUGGAGACACCCCUCCUCUGCCUUCCCUCCCAAAAGAAACAGUCUAGACAGGAAGCCCCUGAAGGGAACUCUUAAAAAUUGUGAUGGGGAUCCUGAAGUGUAGCUCUUCACAGUUACGGCUUCUGGAGUGAGGGGCUGGGGGCGGGGUGGCAUGGAGGUGGGCUCUGUUUUCUUUGCGGGACUGGCCACUAGGAGCUUGACCAUGCUGCAGUGAGUACAUGGGCCACACAAACUGGACUUGUUUCAUUUUUGUUGUUGUUAUUGAUGUUUUUUUCUCUUUUCUUUGGGCCAGGUGACAGGGUGAGGUGGGCUACUGUGGGGCUGGAAAGACUGGGAAGUUGAUGGGGUGCAUUAUUUGAAACUCUCAAAUAAUCAAUAAAAAUGUUAUGUUG